rnacentral:rRNA from 1 species
AAUGAACGCUGGCGACAGGCCUAACACUUGCAAGUCGAACGGAUCCUUCGGGAUUAGUGGCGGACGGGUGAGUAACGCGUGGGAACAUACCCUUUGGUACGGAAUAGCCUCGGGAAACUGGGAGUAAUACCGUAUGUGGUCGAGAGACGAAAGAUUUAUCGCCAAAGGAUUGGCCCGCGUUGGAUUAGGUAGUUGGUGGGGUAAUGGCCUACCAAGUCGACGAUCCAUAGCUGGUUUGAGAGGAUGAUCAGCCACACUGGGACUGAGACACGGCCCAGACUCCUACGGGAGGCAGCAGUGGGGAAUCUUAGACAAUGGGGGAAACCCUGAUCUAGCCAUGCCGCGUGAUCGAUGAAGGCCUUAGGGUUGUAAAGAUCUUUCAGGUGGGAAGAUAAUGACUGUACCACCAGAAGAAGCCCCGGCUAACUCCGUGCCAGCAGCCGCCGUAA